rnacentral:tRNA from 1 species
GCAGUGGUGGUUCAGUGGUUGAAUUCCCAUUUUCCAUGCAGGAGACCCAGGUUCAAUUCCAGGCCGAUGUA